UACGGAGGGUGCGAGCGUUGUCCGGAAUCAUUGGGCGUAAAGGGCGCGUAGGUGGCCUGGUCAGUCCGUGGUGAAAGCGCGGGGCUCAACCCCGCGUCGGCCAUGGAUACUGCGAGGCUGGAGCACUGUAGAGGCAGGCGGAAUUCCAGGUGUAGCGGUGAAAUGCGUAGAUAUCUGGAGGAACACCGGUGGCGAAGGCGGCAUCCUGGACCGGCAUUGACGCUGAGGCGCGAAAGCCAGGGGAGCAAACGGG
rnacentral:rRNA from 1 species